rnacentral:rRNA from 1 species
GAAUUUAGCAGAGAUGCUUUAGUGCCUUCGGGAACUCUGAGACAGGUGCUGCAUGGCUGUCGUCAGCUCGUGUUGUGAAAUGUUGGGUUAAGUCCCGCAACGAGCGCAACCCUUAUCCUUUGUUGCCAGCACGUAAUGGUGGGAACUCAAAGGAGACUGCCGGUGAUAAACCGGAGGAAGGUGGGGAUGACGUCAAGUCAUCAUGGCCCUUACGAGUAGGGCUACACACGUGCUACAAUGGCGCAUACAAAGAGAAGCGACCUCGCGAGAGCAAGCGGACCUCAUAAAGUGCGUCGUAGUCCGGAUUGGAGUCUGCAACUCGACUCCAUGAAGUCGGAAUCGCUAGUAAUCGUAAAUCAGAAUGUUACGGUGAAUACGUUCCCGGGCCUUGUACACACCGCCCGUCACACCAUGGGAGUGGGUUGCAAAAGAAGUAGAUAGCUUAACCUUCGGGAGGGCGUUUACCACUUUGUGAUUCAUGACUGGGGUGAAGUCGUAACAAGGUAAGCGUAGUGCU